rnacentral:rRNA from 1 species
UACGUAGGGGGCAAGCGUUGUCCGGAAUUAUUGGGGGUAAAGUGUGUGUAGGCGGCUGAGUAAGUUUGAUCUGAAAGCCCGGGGCUCAACCCCGGGAGGCGGGUGGAUACUGCUCAGCUCGAGUCCGGAAGAGGAGUGUGGAAUUCCUGGUGUAGCGGUGAAAUGCGUAGAGAUCCGGAGGAACACCAAAGGCGAAGGCAGUGUCCUGGGGAGUACCUGACGCUCAGGUGCGAAAGCCAGGGGAGCGAACGGG